rnacentral:rRNA from 1 species
GACGAACGCUGGCGGCGCGCCUAACACAUGCAAGUCGAACGAGCGAGAGAGAGCUUGCUUUCUCGAGCGAGUGGCGAACGGGUGAGUAACGCGUGAGGAACCUGCCUCAAAGAGGGGGACAACAGUUGGAAACGACUGCUAAUACCGCAUAAGCCCACAGGUCGGCAUCGACCAGAGGGAAAAGGAGCAAUCCGCUUUGAGAUGGCCUCGCGUCCGAUUAGCUAGUUGGUGAGGUAAUGGCCCACCAAGGCGACGAUCGGUAGCCGGACUGAGAGGUUGAACGGCCACAUUGGGACUGAGACACGGCCCAGACUCCUACGGGAGGCAGCAGUGGGGAAUAUUGCACAAUGGGGGAAACCCUGAUGCAGCGACGCCGCGUGGAGGAAGAAGGUCUUCGGAUUGUAAACUCCUGUUGUUGAGGAAGAUAAUGACGGUACUCAACAAGGAAG